rnacentral:rRNA from 1 species
UACGGAGGAUGCAAGCGUUAUCCGGAUUUAUUAGGUUUAAAGGGUGCGUAGGCGGGAAUUUAAGUCAGUGGUGAAAUCAUAUAGCUUAACUAUAUUUAGCCGUUGAUACUGGGUUUCUUGAGUUCGGUUGAGGUAGGCGGAAUGUGUUGUGUAGCGGUGAAAUGCAUAGAUAUAACACAGAACACCGAUUGCGAAGGCAGCUUACUAAGCCGUUACUGACGCUGAUGCACGAAAGCGUGGGGAUCAAACAGG